ACAUAGCAUUGUUCUCGAAGUUGUUGCCUAAAUGCAAUUAGAAAGGAAAUCUAAUUCGAAACUCAUCGAAACAAAGUUUUUGUCGACUGGAUCAUCAUCCACGCACUUGAGAGCUCCGCCGCUCCCUUUCGAGAUUUGGUCUCGCUUCCCAAAUGUUGAAGGUUGGCUGAGACUCACUGACUCACUGAGAUGCUGAAGAUGAUGAUGCGGAAUAUAGCUGCUGCUUCUUUUUAUUGCAGCAGUCGGAGAUGGAGAGGUAUGCCUUGUCUUCACUCUAACUCCACUCUUGUUGUUUUAGACAACAAUUACUUUGCUUUCUUUCACUCUCAACCUUCGAAACCAAUCAAAUCUACAAGAACCAAACUAGCCCAGCCAGUGAGAGACUCACCCAAAAUCACAAAUGUUGAGGAUGCUUUCAAUGUGUUUGAUAAAAUGCUCCAAAUGCGUCCUCGGCCUUCAGUUGUUCUUUUCACUCAAAUAUUGGGUCAAGUUGCAAAAUUGAAACAUUACUCAGCCGCCAUCUCAUUGUAUAACCAAAUGGGUGUGUCGAGAAUUGGACAUGAUGUUUAUAUCCUAACCAUUGUCAUUAAUUGUUAUUGUCAUUUGAACCAAAUGGGGUUCGGUUUAUCUGUAUUGGGAAAAUUCUUCAAACUUGGUCUUGAACCAAAUGUCUUUACCUUCACCACUGUGAUCAACGGCUUUCUUCUUGAGAAUAGAGUGGUUCAGGCAGUAGAACUUUUCAAUAAAAUGAUCAAGGCAGGUAAUUGUCAGCCUGAUGUCUUUACUUUCAGCACACUAAUAAAGGGCUUUUGCAUGAGGGGUGACAACCGUGCAGCUAUUCAAUUGCUCAGGAAGAUGGAGGAAGGGGUUUGCAAGCCUGACCUAGUUGUCUAUAACACAAUCAUCGACAGUCUUUGUAAGGAUACACUAGUUGAUGAUGCAUUAAACCUCUUCUCAGAAAUGAUGUGCAAGGGUAUUUCCCCAAAUGUCAUUACCUAUACAUCCUUGAUUAAUGGAGUUUGCAAAUUAGGCGAGUGGAAAGAAGCUACAAGGUUGUUGAAUGAAAUGGUGAGUAAAAAUAUCUUUCCAGAUGUGUUCACGUUCAAUGUCUUGGUAGACACACUUUGUAAGGAGGGAAUGGUCGUGGAAGCAGAAGGCGUGGUUGAGAUGAUGAUUCAAAGAGAUAUUGAUCCUGAUACAGUUACGUACAAUUCACUCAUGGAUGGUUACUGUUUGCGAGGAGAAAUAGGCAAGGCACAAAAUGUUUUUGAACUAAUGCUUAGCAAGGGCUUGAUGGUUAAUGUUGUUUGUUACAACACGUUGAUAAAUGGAUAUUGUAAGCUUAAAAAAAUAGAUGAGGCCAUGAUGCUUUUUCUGGAUAUGUCUCAUAAGGGACUAGUUGCAAAUACCGUUACCUAUAACACUCUUCUGGAUGGUUUUGGCAAAGCAGGUAGAAUACAGGAUACACAAAAGUUGUUCUCUGAGAUGCAAGCUUGUGGCCAACUUCCAAAUGUUCGAACUUAUUCUAUUUUACUGGAUGGCCUGUGUACAAACCGACAACUUUCUAGGGCAAUGCAAUUGUUUGGAGAGAUGGAAGCGAAGAAGUUGGAUAUUGAUAUUGUGAUUUACAAUAUUCUUAUUGAAGGUUUGUGCAUAGCUGGAAAAAUUGAAUCUGCAAGGGAUCUCUUUUGUGGUUUAUCAUCAAAAGGACUUCGACCUGAUGUGAAGACAUACACUAUAAUGAUUAAUGGACUCUGUAUCGCGGGCCUAACAAGUGAAGCAGAAAAGUUUCUUAUCCAAAUGGAAGAGAAAGGCUGUUUUCCUGAUGGUUGCACCUAUAACACAAUUAUCCGAGGGUUCAUCCAUAAUAAACAGACAUCAAGGGCGAUGGUACUUAUUCGAACAAUGGUAGAGAAGGGUUUUUCUGCAGAUGCAUCAACAAUGGAGUUGAUAGUUAAUUUACUGUCGAAAGAGGAAGUGGAUCCUGCUUUGUUGCCUUUGAUAAAAAAAUCACUGUGAAAUUAAUAUGCAUUUGUGGACAAUGAAAUUUGGAACUGCUGCACCUUCAACGACCAUAAAGGUAUUACAGUGGUUGAGCGUAUGGCAGGAGGUGAAAAGGCCUUCUCACUUGCAUCCUUAAUCUCUGUAUAUAGAAGGCCAAAUAUAUAAAUUUAGGUGUGCCUUCUCGUGACUCUCCUAGCUUGAAAAUGUUUCUAUAGAUAACGUGGCUACUGUUUUGGGUUUCAGAAACUUUGACAAAACAUAGACCAUUAUAGGUUAAGUCAAUUGAUAUUGACUUCAAUAUUGGUUAUCUACAGAGAAUAUUUAAAAUCAAAGGUUGGUUUGUCUCACUUCCCACAUAAUGUAUAAUAUAUAUACUAAUGGCUUCUAGUUUGAGGAUGAAAUAAUGAGCCUAAACUUUAUCAAUUCAUUGAUGUUCUGGAGAGGAGUGUGUUAUUUUGGGAUAGCGGCUGAUAAUGGUAUAUAUAUUGUUGUUCCUUGAUUGAACUUGUGUUGAGUACCCAUCUUUAUGUUAACUAAACUAAUUUUCCAAGUUAAAACUCUUUUGUUUCUUUUCUGGUUCAUAUAUACCAGUCAAACUCUUUAGAUGGUUUGCUUGGUUAGAAGUUGGAACUAGUUAGCCAUGAUGGAAAAUACUAGCCCCAAUGCCAGGAUUGGGAUUGGAAGGGAAGGGAUAAUUUUUACAAAGUGAUUUUUGA